UCUCAAUGGAAAUCAAACUGUUCUCUAAAUGGAACUGGGAAUUAUUCAGUUUUCUAUUGUUAUUUGGAGGAUUCACCAUUCAUUCUCUGUGUUGAAAGUAUGAGGAGCUUCCACAAGCCUGAGGAGCGCACCAGCCUAUGGCCAUCAUACUGCUGGGUCCCAUAGGGCUUCUGCACCUGGCCAGCAGCAGGCUUCUGAGCCUCCUGGGCAUGAGUGGAGACAGGUUCACGGGGACCCUCAAGGUUAAAGAGAAGCCCCAUCCCUGGAGGCAUUCAAGGCCAGGUUGGAUGGGAUGCCGGGCAGCCUGAGCUGGGAGGGAGUCUUCCUGUUCCACAGCUACCCACAAGCCCUACUCCUACGCAAUUCAGUGAGAAGCAAAGUUCUCAGUGUUACCAUAAAGGAUUUUGUGCGUAAAUGCCAAGCUUAACCCUGGCACGAGCUGACCAAAGCCAUCUGGCCAGUCUUACACAUGAUCACACCAGCUAAGCCACACAGUAGAGCUUUCUGAAGAAGACCCUAAUAUACCUGAACUGUUUGAGCGUUGCCUCUAAAUCCAGCUUCAGUGAGCUGCAGCUUAUGUGGUGGCUGCUGGAGGUUACCAGAGGACACAAUAUCCUGAAUACCAUCACACUGCUACAGCAGCAGGGCUGUUGGUAGUACAAGCCUGGCGAAGGAAGAGGAGAACAAACUGCAUAAAUAUUUAAGGGCCUUUGUUCUCUAUGGAGCUUGUACUGAUCAUUUUAUUUGGGUUUUGAUCACUAACACUGCUGUUUAUCUAUUUUAAGCUUUGCACUUUGUUACCUUAUCAGACUGCUAUUACUUUUCAAUCAUGUUAAAAAAAAAAAAAAAAGAUUGGUAGAACUUAACUACUUGCUUCCUCUGGCAUCAUUCCCCAUUUUCUAUUCUACUCUAGCCUAAAAUCAUGCACUAAAGCAGGAAAUUCAGCAGGGGGGACAGGAUGCAUGAAAAAGCAUGUACAACAUCAAGGAGAACCAUGACUAGAAAACUAUCCUUCAGGUGCCAGAAAGGACCAAGAAAUUAAUGAGGCUGGGGAGUUGUGGAAAAGCCAAGUCAUGAGAGGGAACAAAUACAUGGGACCUAGAAAACGAUAGCAUUGUAGUUGGCAGACUGGCACACCAGUAACAUUUAAUGUAUAUAGCAGUGCUAGCUCUCCAACUGUAUAAGCAUACCUACCGUUUCAGUCUUAUCUUACCUCCAGGCAUUCUAGACAAACACACGUGAGUUUAUAAAGAAGUAACGUGCUGUGACCAUUUUUGACAGAAGCAUUUCUUCUGUCCAUAUUUAAGUUCUGCAGCACGAAGGGCCACACUGAUACUGAUGGCAUUGCCAAUGGGCCCAGCUCAAAGGGCUACUGUUUCACUGCCACACCAGACUGCUAGGCUGCAGAAUCUCAGCAUCUAACAAAGCACUGAGUGAAUUAGGCAGGGUUACGCAACACAACAGCACAAAAUAGGUACGGACAGUGACAAUGAAUAUGCAUAUAUUGACAAUGCGUACAGUUAGUAGUGAGGAAAGAAGAUCACAUGAAGCACAACUAUCACAUCUUUGCUGCAGCCCAUUGUAUAUGCCAACACUGGGCCCAUUUGACAUCAAGCAGAUAGGCAAGUACCGAACUCCAACCACUGUAGAUAACCUUGUUUCCUUGCACCUAAUGUGGAUGGCCUUGAAGCUGUCAUUGCUAGAUGGAAGCAGUGAGAACUAGGUGCUAUACAGCAGUGGAUUGACUUUGCAGGACAUGCUGAAGGGCUGUGGCUUAUGUAAGACCCUCAUAUAAAUUAUGCAUGCUGGUAUAGUCCUUAGGUAUGCAAUAGAUGAACAGUCCCCUCACUGUAAGAGCCCGCAUUGGCAAGAAAUAUAGGAAUAGCUUUCACACUGUAAAGCACAGCUGCUGACUUGCAGUACAGAGGUGACCUGAUAAUCUGGAAGAAGCCCAGGGCUUCAGCUCCAUGAACAAGAGUCAGAAUGCAUUGCUCAGCCCAUGCAUCUAUCACAGCAUUUCACAGAUGACUGUACUUUGGCCCCGUAUCUCCCUCAGCUUCUAAAAUCUGCUUUCAAUUUAGGAAGAGAAAGAACAAAAAGAAUGCAGAUUGUCAAACAUCUCCCUCCUUGGUGUCAUUCUCCUCGAGGGAUACUUCGUGGUUCAUCUACAACAUAGCUAAAUGUCAUUCAGAAAAAAAAAAAAAAAAAAAAAACAAGCAACAGGAUUCAUCUCAUUAACACUAAGCAAACAGAAAAUGGAGCCAGGUGGUGGCUUUCUUACCUGAAUUCAUACCUAUUAAGCAGGCGAUCGAUUUAGCGAUAAGGCUCUCAGAAUGUUCUGUAAGUUCCAUGACAGAGGCUCACAAAGAGAUGUCUCAGUUCAUUUUUGGCCCCUUGGUGUUUUUUAUUAGGCAUACAGCCACACUUACCACAACAUGAGAGAGGAACAUGUGAGCCUGCCUGUCACACUUGCAUACAUUGGUGACUGGCGCAUUCCGUGGUCCUCUACAGAAACACAGCUCAUCUACAGUAUCAUUUUAUUGGGCAAGAGCAAUACAAUUUUCAUUGAACUAAGGACACUACUUCUUACUUCAAACACCGGAAUGUAUUUAGCUAUCACAAAGCUUCAUACAAGUAAAAUGUAACGUUCAUGUAAAGCAUUUUAAAUUUCCAGAAAAUUCCUCCUUCAUGUUCUUAUACACACUGCAACACAUUGAAGCACAGACAGAAUGAACAUAUUUUAUAUGAAGCCAUGAUCUCAGUGCUCAGUUACCAACUCCUUUUUUGGACCAGAGGGAACAAGAUGUACUUCAAACUGAAAACUAAGCUUCGGACGUAAACACAAAGCAUCAGCAGCUGCUUUAAGCAAACUACAAGCAAAAGAAAACCCCAGAGCAUACUGACUUCUACCAGAUAAACCAGCAACUAGAUUAAAAAGUAGACUUCAAAUCGCCUGGAAACGUAUGACCAUGCUUUUUCCUUUAGUUCCACACUUAACUGUUUCCUCUUUGCAGGUGGCAUACUAAGAUCUUGCUUGCCUGUGAGAUGUGUUUGCAUCAAGCACAACCUUCUGGGAACAUGUGCCAUGGGUAACAGUGGGUCACUCCAACAGUUCCUCCUGAAGUGGUAACUCAAAAAGGGACCAAAAGCAGAACUACCCUUCUUCCCACAACACACGCAAACCCUCACACAGACAGUGGGGUAAGCAUUACCUUGUCUUCAAUGCCAGCACUUUCAUACUAAUUCCUUUGUGGUACAAGGCAUAAGACAUACUCAAAAUCCUCACUCCUUGCAAAGAACGGGAUUCAUUUUCAUUAAGAAUCGCUAGCAUUUACUUUUGUUAAUUUAACGCUCAUUCUAACAGAAACGAAAGCAUCCUAUGCAAAGCAGUACAUCUAACUUACCAAAUGAACUGAUAUCUUUCAAGUGCUUAUGUGCUUAUAUACUUCAAGUGCUUAAAGAUAUAACUCCCUAGAAACUGGCAUUUCCCCUUACUGUCUUGAGCUGUUCCCUGGUGUAAGCAGGAGGUCUCACCCAUUAUGUGCGCUGUCCAGGAUCCAUUACAGCAGAAGAACAGGGGCAGCCUCAGUGGAGGCAAGUGCUCCAAUACCAGUUCUGCUAGCAUGGGAACACAGCACUCUCCUUGGUGACACAGAGGGCAACUGCACCCUGCAGGGAAGCAACUAUUUGGAAUCUAAGAUUUUAGGUUGAUGUCUGCCAGUAUCUUUAGAAGCAGCAUUGACAGACAGUAGCUGGAGGGGUGAGCAGCUGGUGACUGUUCUUCACAAAAUAGGUAAGACAAUAGCACAAAAAGACAUCAAAACAGGGAAUAAGAGCAUCUAAAGCUUAAUUGUCUAUGCUGUGAAUCUCAAUACGUUUUUAUUAUUCCAUGAGUCAAAAGAAGUGCUCAGAAAAGCUACGGAGGAACAUUUCUUGCAGUACUUUCUCAUCCAGCACAGCAAACAAUACACAAUAGAGAUACUAUAAACUAAAUAACUUUACACAGAAAUUCCAUCAACUCAGCCAUGUGCCUAUUUUAAUUUCUAUAACAAAUUCACACAAGAAGUUUGACUGAGUGAAACCUCUGAAGAAUAAAAGGGAAAAAAAAUUCAGCAAGAAACAAUACCAUAGACAAUAACGUGCCAGCAGUACAGCUUUUUAAUUGGCAUGAUGCAAUUUUUCUUUCCAAACUAAUUCAUCAAAUCACAAUAAGGGAUCACUGGAUUUGGAAGAUAGCAGCUACUCUUUCCAUUUUAGGUUUACAGUGUUUUCAGUAAUACCAGCUUCGAUUUUGCAACAUCACUAAGAUGAGGUUCUCCACUGCACUGAAGAAUUAAUCUUUUUUGCCUUGAAGCAUCAUGUCGCAGCAUUAUUCAUGUAAAUAAGCUGUGCAAGUUGGACAGUUAAGCAAUAAGUACUAUGACAAAGCUAAGCAUGGACUCAUCUGGACUCUGAUUUCUAUAUGCAAGGGGGCUCUGCCCUAAGAAAGGUCUGGCAAUCCCUAUUGCAAAACUAUACAUCUUGAACACAGCUCCCUGAGGAAAUCAUUGUUGUGUACCUAAAACCUCCCAAGCAAUACAUAAUUGAGUCCUACAUGGACAUGAGGACAAACCACUGCACAACCACUCACCAGCAAUCUCCCACCCCAACCUGCAUUAUUGUAGUAGCUCUGUCUUAUUUUAGUACGGGUUCUCGACACCCUCCCUGAACACUGAAGUUACAAUCCACAGCAUGAACAAUUGAUUACUUAGGCAGCAAAUGAAGUUUAAGAGAGAGAUUUUACACAGGAGGUAAGUACUUAAUGGAUGCAUACUGGAACAUCUUUUCCCAUUGAUUUGCUCAGCCCAGGAGAAAGAAAAACCACACACACAAAGGGAGCCAAAUCCUGGUUUUACUCAAGUUCCCCAAGCACAGGAAAAGAAAGCAAGAUAGAGGACAAUUUCACACCACCCACCUACAGGCACUUAGCUUAGCUGAAGCUCCUUCACCUCCCUUGCAAUCAACCUGCAGAGGCAAACUCCUCUGAAAGGACCAUUGAGAUCAAACUAUGUUUGUUAGGGGCGCUUGAAACUGUGAUUUACAUCAAGAAUCUCUUUCUGCCACCUCCACUGAAAGAUGAACUUAGUGGGUUACCCAGCUAAAAGAGAUGCCUAAAGGUAGAUGGUGAAAAUACCACCAUAACUUCCAGAGCAAUCCUCAAGGGGAUUCGUUUGCCAACUGCUGUUUCUUGGGAUGUGAAAAGCAGGCAUCUACGGUAUCCCCAUGCCUGUUUCAGUUAAGGUGGGAAAAACAAGCAAACAAAAAAACAAAUCCAGGGUAUGUUUAAAAUUUGAUAGCUAUUUUGUCUCAAAGAGAACACUUAACAUGCUAUUAGCAAGCAUGAAAAUGUUUUAGCUUUAUGUUACGGAAAGGCUUGAAUGAGCAGAUAACUCAUUGCUCAGUAUACAAAUGAAGUAUUACUAAAUUAAACUUGCCAGCAAGAACAUUCCUUAUAUUCUGCAGGGCACUUCACAUUCAGCUGAGGUGAAAGAGCAACCUUUAUGUGUGUUCUAAAUGCAGGAGGAGUGCAAAUGUUUAAAAAAUGAGGCAAAGAAACAUAUCUCAAAGUUUACCCAACUCUUACCAAUAAUAAUACAUGAGAACUGUGAAGUGGAACCAGUGCUAAUACAACAACUUUGAAGUGCUUAGCUACAGCUUUAACUUUCGCUGUGAACUGAAAGGAUUAACCAUAACCUGCUUGCAGCCAGACCUCGUAAGGGCUGAAAAAUUAACUCUCAUUUUUAGGAACAUAAGAGACAGUUAUGCACAUUUAUUGUAAAUGCUUUAAUGUAUUUCAAGUUUAAGCCAUGGCAAUAAGCGCUCGGUCAACACGCUGAAUUUCAAUCAAAACGAUACCCUCAGCCAACGCUAUGAACAUACCAGCAAUUUCAAUUAAUUCACAAGAGAAGACUCACGGUUUCUUUUUCACAAAGAAUAUAUCACAAUACAGAAAUAAAAAUCUCAGAAGUUCACCUAAAAAAACACUGCUGGCACCAAGCCGUACAAUGAUAGUAAACUACACUGUGAAACAAUCUUCUCACUGUAAGGAAAGCAGCAAUUCACAUACUUCACUCCUGGUAGAUAUUCAGAUCUUUUACUGUUCAAAUCAGAGCAUUUAAGAUCACACGUACAAGUUUUGCAUACUCAGAACACAGAAAAUACAAGUUAGUCAUCACUCGGUCUUCACGAAAUAGAAAAUCCACCUUCCAGCGGUGCCAUGUGAAUAAGAAGGUGUAAGCACUGGAAAAAACGCAGACACUUGCUCUUCAGAUCAAAUUAAAGUGCCCUCCAAGCAGCGUGAAACUAAUGGUUUCUCACCCGGGCUGCAAAAGCAGCAGCAUCCCGCUGACAGGGUCAGACCCCGCACGUCCCAGCGGCCACGGCUGGGCAGGAGGAGAGGAGAGGAAGAGAGGAAAAGAACCGCUGCCACCUCAGCAGCGUCCAAUCCCGGGAAAACAAAGGGGAUUCCCAUUGUCAUUGUCUUCUUCUGCAGCUGAUCAUCACCAGCACUAGCAAGGCAGUAGCUUGCGCAGUUAUCUCCACAGCGGGCAAUGUCACAACCCGACCAACAGCACAAACUACUACCUCAGCCAGGCCUGGCGCACCCGGCCCCUGCUGGGGGGAACGAGCAGGCAGACACCGCGUCACCGAUAAACGAAGUUACAGGGAGAAACAGCAGGAAGAUAAAAGGGCUCUGGGGUCUUUUGAUGAUCCUCGUCUCCUUUAUCUGCUGCAGACAUCAACCAGACUCCUCUCGUCUGACUGAAAAGCGGAGGGAAACCCCGCCCAGCUCCCUCCCCAGCGCUGCCCUUUUCCUUGCAUGACCUGAAGCCGACGGGCAGAGCUCCAUUUAUAAGAUACAUCACAGACCCCAGCUGGUGCAGCAGAGGGCACGUUUAAUUUCAAAGUGCCACCGCUCCGCACACCUAUAACAGAUGGGGAGGGGAGAGAGAGAGGGAGGAAGGAAAGGAGAGAAGCGGGGGGCAGCGGGCACGGCAGACAACCGCCCCCAGC
ensembl:lncRNA